UCGUCAUGGCUUUAACCGUAA
rnacentral:piRNA from 1 species